UACGGAGGGUGCAAGCGUUAUCCGGAUUCACUGGGUUUAAAGGGUGCGUAGGCGGGGUGGUAAGUCCGUGGGGAAAUCUCCAAGCUUAACUUGGAAACUGCCGUGGAUACUAUCAAUCUUGAAUAUCGUGGAGGUAAGCGGAAUAUGUCAUGUAGCGGUGAAAUGCUUAGAUAUGACAUAGAACACCAAUUGCGUAGGCAGCUUACUACACGAUCAUUGACGCUGAGGCACGAAAGCGUGGGGAGCAAGCAGG
rnacentral:rRNA from 1 species